rnacentral:siRNA from 1 species
UAACUGUAUUCAACCGUAACAUU